AGCAAGGGGCUAGACUCCCCACUUACAGAACAUGCUCAUGAAUUGUGAAGCUUGUCCUGCCAGCUUCAGCCCAAGAGCCGUGCCUAGGCUAUAGAAGAAGAGAUGAAAGAGGUUAAUAGAAAACUUAACUCAAUCUGGAUGAAACAAGUGGAAUUUGUUGCCUCUUAGCCAAUAAAAUGGAAGUCCAAAGGUAUUUAUGGAGCAUUGUUUUAUGGUGAUGAAUAGGACAGGGAAAGCCUCUGUUUUCAUGGUGCUCAUACGUUCAAGGAAGAGAGUCACCAAAUUCUGCCUGCAGAGCUUACAGCCUUGUGCCUUCCACUCAGGAGGUGUUCAAUCAACAGUUGUUAAACGAGGGAUGAUGAUCUCAUAUAGACCUACAGAAUCUCAGAGCUGAGGAUUAUCAACCACAUUAUACAGAAAGGUCGAGUCACUUGACUAAGGAGGACGAUGAGCCAAGAGCGCAGUUGGAGUUCAGUCAGAUGGAGCAUUCCUGGUGCUGCCUCCUUGCGUGAAAGAUAUUGUCAUGAGAAAGUCACAUGCAAAUGAAGGAGGCUGUAAUUAGGAGAGGAAAAAUAACAUCACCAUGGGAGACGUUGGCUGAGAGGUUCAGGAAGAUUUGUGCACUGAACAAAGGUUGCAGUCUCUCUGUAUGGAAGACAUCAGGAACUAUUCCUCUCAUGACUUUAUUAAAUUGGCCUGAAUUAUCAGCAACUGUGAUCCCUCAGUCCAGGAGAAGAAAGCUUCUUAAAGAGCAGCCCUAUAGAGAGGCCCAAGCAGCAAGGAGCUGAUAUCUCCAGCCAACAGCCAACAAGGACCUGUGGCCUGUCUGCAGUCAUGGUGUGUGCCAGAUGCUGCAAAGAGAAAAAGACUCAACUCUUCCUAAAGAGUUCACAAAAAAUUGGGGGAAUAACACAUCAGAUGACUCAAUUUCAUCGAAUGGAACCCACUCACCCCCGAAAGCAUCUAAUACUCAGCCAGUUCCAACAGAACAAUGGUAACAUGGUGG
rnacentral:lncRNA from 1 species